rnacentral:rRNA from 1 species
UACGUAGGGUGCGAGCGUUGUCCGGAAUUAUUGGGCGUAAAGAGCUUGUAGGCGGUUUGUCGCGUCUGCUGUGAAAAUCCGGGGCUCAACCCCGGACUUGCAGUGGGUACGGGCAGACUAGAGUGUGGUAGGGGGAGACUGGAAUUCCUGGUGUAGCGGUGGAAUGCGCAGAUAUCAGGAGGAACACCGAUGGCGAAGGCAGGUCUCUGGGCCACUACUGACGCUGAGAAGCGAAAGCAUGGGGGAGCGAACAGG